rnacentral:rRNA from 1 species
AUGCAGAUGCUUCAAGAACAUAAUCGAACUCUAAUGGGGGAGAGAUUAUCAAACUUAGGUGUCAAUGACUUGUGUUUAUUGGAAAAUCAACUGGAGCAGAGCUUACGUUGUAUGAGAGAGAAGAAGGGAUAUAUAUUCCAUCAACAGAAUAUUCAACUCUCCGAGGAAAUAAAGCUUAUCCAUGAACGGAACUUGGAACUAAAGAACAAGCUUUAUGGUGCAACAUGUUACCCUCCAACGCAGAGUAUAUAUGAAAAGUAUUAA